UUAAGCGACUAAGCGUACACGGUGGAUGCCCUGGCAGUCAGAGGCGAUGAAGGACGUGCUAAUCUGCGAUAAGCGUCGGUAAGGUGAUAUGAACCGUUAUAACCGGCGAUUUCCGAAUGGGGAAACCCAGUGUGUUUCGACACACUAUCAUUAACUGAAUCCAUAGGUUAAUGAGGCGAACCGGGGGAACUGAAACAUCUAAGUACCCCGAGGAAAAGAAAUCAACCGAGAUUCCCCCAGUAGCGGCGAGCGAACGGGGAGCAGCCCAGAGCCUGAAUCAGUAUGUGUGUUAGUGGAAGCGUCUGGAAAGGCGCGCGAUACAGGGUGACAGCCCCGUACACAAAAAUGCACAUGCUGUGAGCUCGAUGAGUAGGGCGGGACACGUGGUAUCCUGUCUGAAUAUGGGGGGACCAUCCUCCAAGGCUAAAUACUCCUGACUGACCGAUAGUGAACCAGUACCGUGAGGGAAAGGCGAAAAGAACCCCGGCGAGGGGAGUGAAAAAGAACCUGAAACCGUGUACGUACAAGCAGUGGGAGCACGCUUAGGCGUGUGACUGCGUACCUUUUGUAUAAUGGGUCAGCGACUUAUAUUCUGUAGCAAGGUUAACCGAAUAGGGGAGCCGAAGGGAAACCGAGUCUUAACUGGGCGUUAAGUUGCAGGGUAUAGACCCGAAACCCGGUGAUCUAGCCAUGGGCAGGUUGAAGGUUGGGUAACACUAACUGGAGGACCGAACCGACUAAUGUUGAAAAAUUAGCGGAUGACUUGUGGCUGGGGGUGAAAGGCCAAUCAAACCGGGAGAUAGCUGGUUCUCCCCGAAAGCUAUUUAGGUAGCGCCUCGUGAAUUCAUCUCCGGGGGUAGAGCACUGUUUCGGCAAGGGGGUCAUCCCGACUUACCAACCCGAUGCAAACUGCGAAUACCGGAGAAUGUUAUCACGGGAGACACACGGCGGGUGCUAACGUCCGUCGUGAAGAGGGAAACAACCCAGACCGCCAGCUAAGGUCCCAAAGUCAUGGUUAAGUGGGAAACGAUGUGGGAAGGCCCAGACAGCCAGGAUGUUGGCUUAGAAGCAGCCAUCAUUUAAAGAAAGCGUAAUAGCUCACUGGUCGAGUCGGCCUGCGCGGAAGAUGUAACGGGGCUAAACCAUGCACCGAAGCUGCGGCAGCGACGCUGAUGCGUUGUUGGGUAGGGGAGCGUUCUGUAAGCCUGCGAAGGUGUGCUGUGAGGCAUGCUGGAGGUAUCAGAAGUGCGAAUGCUGACAUAAGUAACGAUAAAGCGGGUGAAAAGCCCGCUCGCCGGAAGACCAAGGGUUCCUGUCCAACGUUAAUCGGGGCAGGGUGAGUCGACCCCUAAGGCGAGGCCGAAAGGCGUAGUCGAUGGGAAACAGGUUAAUAUUCCUGUACUUGGUGUUACUGCGAAGGGGGGACGGAGAAGGCUAUGUUGGCCGGGCGACGGUUGUCCCGGUUUAAGCGUGUAGGCUGGUUUUCCAGGCAAAUCCGGAAAAUCAAGGCUGAGGCGUGAUGACGAGGCACUACGGUGCUGAAGCAACAAAUGCCCUGCUUCCAGGAAAAGCCUCUAAGCAUCAGGUAACAUCAAAUCGUACCCCAAACCGACACAGGUGGUCAGGUAGAGAAUACCAAGGCGCUUGAGAGAACUCGGGUGAAGGAACUAGGCAAAAUGGUGCCGUAACUUCGGGAGAAGGCACGCUGAUAUGUAGGUGAAGUCCCUCGCGGAUGGAGCUGAAAUCAGUCGAAGAUACCAGCUGGCUGCAACUGUUUAUUAAAAACACAGCACUGUGCAAACACGAAAGUGGACGUAUACGGUGUGACGCCUGCCCGGUGCCGGAAGGUUAAUUGAUGGGGUCAGCGCAAGCGAAGCUCUUGAUCGAAGCCCCGGUAAACGGCGGCCGUAACUAUAACGGUCCUAAGGUAGCGAAAUUCCUUGUCGGGUAAGUUCCGACCUGCACGAAUGGCGUAAUGAUGGCCAGGCUGUCUCCACCCGAGACUCAGUGAAAUUGAACUCGCUGUGAAGAUGCAGUGUACCCGCGGCAAGACGGAAAGACCCCGUGAACCUUUACUAUAGCUUGACACUGAACAUUGAGCCUUGAUGUGUAGGAUAGGUGGGAGGCUUUGAAGUGUGGACGCCAGUCUGCAUGGAGCCGACCUUGAAAUACCACCCUUUAAUGUUUGAUGUUCUAACGUGGACCCGUGAUCCGGGUUGCGGACAGUGUCUGGUGGGUAGUUUGACUGGGGCGGUCUCCUCCUAAAGAGUAACGGAGGAGCACGAAGGUUGGCUAAUCCUGGUCGGACAUCAGGAGGUUAGUGCAAUGGCAUAAGCCAGCUUGACUGCGAGCGUGACGGCGCGAGCAGGUGCGAAAGCAGGUCAUAGUGAUCCGGUGGUUCUGAAUGGAAGGGCCAUCGCUCAACGGAUAAAAGGUACUCCGGGGAUAACAGGCUGAUACCGCCCAAGAGUUCAUAUCGACGGCGGUGUUUGGCACCUCGAUGUCGGCUCAUCACAUCCUGGGGCUGAAGUAGGUCCCAAGGGUAUGGCUGUUCGCCAUUUAAAGUGGUACGCGAGCUGGGUUUAGAACGUCGUGAGACAGUUCGGUCCCUAUCUGCCGUGGGCGCUGGAGAACUGAGGGGGGCUGCUCCUAGUACGAGAGGACCGGAGUGGACGCAUCACUGGUGUUCGGGUUGUCAUGCCAAUGGCACUGCCCGGUAGCUAAAUGCGGAAGAGAUAAGUGCUGAAAGCAUCUAAGCACGAAACUUGCCCCGAGAUGAGUUCUCCCUGACUCCUUGAGAGUCCUGAAGGAACGUUGAAGACGACGACGUUGAUAGGCCGGGUGUGUAAGCGCAGCGAUGCGUUGAGCUAACCGGUACUAAUGAACCGUGAGGCUUAACCUU
rnacentral:rRNA from 1 species